rnacentral:rRNA from 1 species
AUUGAACGCUGGCGGCAGGCCUAACACAUGCAAGUCGAGCGGUAGAGAGGUGCUUGCAUCUCUUGAGAGCGGCGGACGGGUGAGUAAUGCCUAGGAAUCUGCCUAGUGGUGGGGGAUAACGUUCGGAAACGGACGCUAAUACCGCAUACGUCCUACGGGAGAAAGCGGGGGAUCUUCGGACCUCGCGCCAUUAGAUGAGCCUAGGUCGGAUUAGCUAGUUGGUGAGGUAAUGGCUCACCAAGGCGACGAUCCGUAACUGGUCUGAGAGGAUGAUCAGUCACACUGGAACUGAGACACGGUCCAGACUCCUACGGGAGGCAGCAGUGGGGGAAUAUUGGACAAAUGGGCGAAAGACCUGAUCCAGCCAUGCCGCGUGUGUGAAGAAGGUCUUCGGGAUUGUUAAAGCACUUUAAGUUGGGUAGGAAGGGUA